UACCGAGGGUGCAAGCGUUAAUCGGCAUUACUGGGCGUAAAGCGCGCGUAGGCGGCUUGAUAAGCCGGCGGUGAAAGCCCCGGGCUCAACCUGGGAACGGCAUCCGGAACUGUCAGGCUAGAGUGCAGGAGAGGAAGGUAGAAUUCCCGGUGUAGCGGUGAAAUGCGUAGAGAUCGGGAGGAAUACCAGUGGCGAAGGCGGCCUUCUGGACUGACACUGACGCUGAGGUGCGAAAGCGUGGGUAGCAAACAGG
rnacentral:misc_RNA from 1 species